rnacentral:rRNA from 1 species
CUAGCCUACGGGGCGCAGCAGUGGGGAAUAUUGGGCAAUGGGCGCAAGCCUGACCCAGCAACGCCGCGUGAAGGAAGAAGGCUUUCGGGUUGUAAACUUCUUUUGUCAGGGACGAAGCAAGUGACGGUACCUGACGAAUAAGCCACGGCUAACUACGUGCCAGCAGCCGCGGUAAUACGUAGGUGGCAAGCGUUAUCCGGAUUUACUGGGUGUAAAGGGAGCGUAGACGGAAAGGCAAGUCAGAAGUGAAAACCCAAGGCUCAACCAUGGGACUGCUUUUGAAACUGUCAAA